CAGGUAAAAGGCCAAAGCUUGUUGGAUGUUGAGGGAAUGGAGCUCUUCUGCAGAUGUGUGCAGGUUUUGGGAAGAAAACGGAUAUCAGUACUGAGAUGAGUCCUCUUGAGAUGAAAGUAUACUGCAGUUUGUUUCCUCACAAGCAAGUAAAUGGCAAUACUGCUGUGUAUUACUCUUCUAAAUCAGCAAUUCUCCAGAUCUUUCACUCCUUCAACCACUUCGUAAGAAAACAUCUGAACUUGUAAGAAAACAACCCAGAGAGAUGGAAAAUCAUCUUUCCACAUUACUAAAGGCAGC